rnacentral:rRNA from 1 species
CCUACGGGUGGCUGCAGUGGGGAAUAUUGCACAAUGGGCGCAAGCCUGAUGCAGCCAUGCCGCGUGUGUGAAGAAGGCCUUCGGGUUGUAAAGCACUUUCAGCGGGGAGGAAGGCGUUAAGGUUAAUAACCUUGUCGAUUGACGUUACCCGCAGAAGAAGCACCGGCUAACUCCGUGCCAGCAGCCGCGGUAAUACGGAGGGUGCAAGCGUUAAUCGGAAUUACUGGGCGUAAAGCGCACGCAGGCGGUCUGUCAAGUCGGAUGUGAAAUCCCCGGGCUCAACCUGGGAACUGCAUUCGAAACUGGCAGGCUAGAGUCUUGUAGAGGGGUGUAGAAUUCCAGGUGUAGCGGUGAAAUGCGUAGAGAUCUGGAGGAAUACCGGUGGCGGAGGCGGCCCCCUGGACAAAGACUGACGCUCAGGUGCGAAAGCGUGGGGAGCAAACAGGAUUAGAUACCCGUGUAGUC